rnacentral:rRNA from 1 species
UUUAACUGAGCGUUCAGUUACUUGACGUAGACCCGAAACCGGGCGACCUACCCAUGAGCAGGAUGAAGCGAAAGUAAAAUUUCGUGGAGGUCCGAACCCACGAGCGUUGAAAAGCUCGGGGAUGACUUGUGGGUAGCGGUGAAAUUCCAAUCGAGCCCGGAGAUAGCUGGUUCUCCCCGAAAUAGCUUUAGGGCUAGCCUCAAGGUGAGAGAUACGGAGGUAGAGCACUGAAUGUCCUAGGGGGUAUUGCACCUACCGAAGACUAUCAAACUCCGAAUGCCGUCAUCUUAUACUUGGGAGUCAGACUGUGGGUGAUAAGAUUCAUAGUCGAAAGGGCAACAGCCCAGAUCGUCAGCUAAGGUCCCUAAAUGUAAGUUAAGUGGUAAAGGAUGUGGGAUUGCACAGACAACCAGGAUGUUGGCUUAGAAGCAGCCACUCAUUCAAAGAGUGCGUAAUAGCUCACUGGUCGAGUGAUCCUGCGCCGAAGAUUUCCGGGGCUAAAACUUACUACCGAAGCUACGGCAUCAGUAAUGAUGGGUAGGGGAGCUUCCCAUACGGGUUGAAGCAUGACCGUAAGGACAUGUGGACAGUAUGGGAGUGAGAAUGUUGGCAUGAGUAGCGAGAUGUGGGUGAGAAUCCCACAGGCCGUAAACCCAAGGUUUCCAGGGGAAGGUUCGUCCGCCCUGGGUUAGUCGGGACCUAAGCUGAGGCCGAAAGGCGUAGGUGAUGGACAACAGGUUGAUAUUCCUGUACUACCGAUAACCGUUUGAGAGAAGGGAUG